rnacentral:rRNA from 1 species
UACGUAGGGGGCGAGCGUUGUCCGGAAUCACUGGGCGUAAAGAGCUCGUAGGUGGUUUGUCGCGUUGUUCGUGAAAUCUCACGGCUUAACUGUGAGCGUGCGGGCGAUACGGGCAGACUGGAGUACUGCAGGGGAGACUGGAAUUCCUGGUGUAGCGGUGGAAUGCGCAGAUAUCAGGAGGAACACCAGUGGCGAAGGCGGGUCUCUGGGCAGUAACUGACGCUGAGGAGCGAAAGCGUGGGGAGCGAACAGG